GCGGUUUCUUAAGUCUGAUGUGAAAGCCCACGGCUCAACCGGGGAGGGUCAUUGGAAACUGGGAGACUUGAGUGCAGAAGAGGAGAGUGGAAUUCCAUGUGUAGCGGUGAAAUGCGUAGAUAUAUGGAGGAACACCAGUGGCGAAGGCGACUCUCUGGUCUGUAACUGACGCUGAGGCUCGAAAGCGUGGGGAGCAGAACAGGAUUAGAUACC
rnacentral:rRNA from 1 species